AAGUCGAACGCAGUAGCAAUACUGAGUGGCAAACGGGUGAGUAUAAUGUGGGAAUCUGCCUUUUGGUUUGGAAUAACACGGGGAAACCUGUGCUAAUACCGAAUAAGCCUUUACAGGGAAAGUUUUAACGCCGAAAGAUGAGCCCGCACUUGAUUAGCUAGUUGGUAAGGUAAAAGCUUACCAAGGCAAUGAUCAAUAGCUGUUCUUAGAGGAAGACCAGCCACAUUGGGACUGAGACACGGCCCAGACUCCUACGGGAGGCAGCAGUGGGGAAUCUUGCACAAUGGGGGAAACCCUGAUGCAGCGAUGCCGCGUGAGUGAAGAAGGCCUUUGGGUUGUAAAACUCUUUCGUCGGGGAAGAAAAUGACCGUACCCGAAUAAGAAGGUCCGGCUAACUUCGUGCCAGCAGCCGCGGUAAUACGAAGGGACCUAGCGUAGUUCGGAAUUACUGGGCUUAAAGAGCUCGUAGGUGGUUAAAAAAGUUGAUGGUGAAAUCCCAAGGCUUAACCUUGGAACUGCCAUCAAAACUUUUUAGCUAGAGUGUGAUAGAGGUAAGUGGAAUUUCUAGUGUAGAGGUGAAAUUCGUAGAUAUUAGAAAGAACACCAAAUGCGAAGGCAACUUACUGGGUCACCACUGACACUGAGGAGCGAAGGCAUGGGUAGCGGAGAGGAUUAGAUACCCUCGUAGUCCAUGCCGUAAACGAUGUGUGCUAGACGUUGGAAAUAUAUUUUUCAGUGUCGCAGCGAAAGCAUUAAGCACACCGCCUGGGGAGUACGACCGCAAGGUUAAAACUCAAAUGAAUUGACGGGGACCCGCACAAGCAGUGGAGCAUGUGGUUUAAUUCGAAGAUACGCGCAGAACCUUACCAACACUUGACAUGUUCGUCGCGAGCCUAAGAGAUUA
rnacentral:rRNA from 1 species